CUGCAAAACAUGAUGUCCUAUCAAACUGAUCGUUUAACUUUAGUUUAUUAACUACCAUAUUCUAGGUAUUAGGAGACCGCUACCUUCGAGAAGGCAUCUGACUAACAAGUAACAAUUUUACAACUACAGUUUUGGUACCAUGUCUCAUGUGGGUAGUGGUUGAUUUUUUUUUUUACCAUCACCGACGCCGCUGGCCGCGCCAUCACCACUGCAGCCGUCGCAGCGCCAUCGCCCCCGCCUUCGGUCUCGCCAUCAUCGCAGCCCUCGCCAUUUUGCCGAAAAGCUUAUUGUCUGACUCAUGCAAUGGAGUAUGGACCUGACCCCGGAGAGGUGUUAAACGCCGGACGCCAUCAUCAACUUUAGGAUCUCGAGGUCACCGCACUAGAGAUAAAGACGAGCAACAACAGGUUUCUGAAGAUGAAGACAAGAAGAUGAAGAGGAUGCUGCAGGCAAGCGCCUACAUUGGUCUGAUGAAGAUAACCUAAGAUUGGUAAGUGCAAUAUCGGGGAGGUUCGUGGCUUUCCUGGUACGCUAGGAAGUCUUGAUUGUAUGCACUGGGUAUGAAGAAUUGCCUAGUUGCAUGACAUGGCCAGUUUACUCGUGGUGACCAUGGAGUCGCUACUAUCAUGCUUGAAGCAGUUGCUUCACAUGAUCUGUGGAUAUGGCAAGCAUUCUUUGGUGUUGCUGUUUCAAAUAAUGACAUUAACGUGUUAAACCAAUAUACAUUGUUCACUAAUGUAUUGCAAGGGUGAGCUCCUCUAGUUGAAUUUACUGUCAAUGGAAGAAACUAUGAUAUGAGCUAUUAUCUUGUUGAUAGCAUAUAUCCAAAAUGGGCUGCUUUUGUCAAGACAAUUCAGGCACAUCAAAGUGAUAAGGAUAAGUUAUUUGCACGAUGUCAGGAGGGAG